rnacentral:piRNA from 1 species
AUCCUCAGGGAAGUUCCAGACCAGUUGAGGC